rnacentral:tRNA from 1 species
GGUUCGGUGGCUGAGUGGUCGAAAGCGCUUCUUUGCUAAAGAAGUGAACCCGAAAGGGUUCCGUGGGUUCGAAUCCCACCCGGACCG